GGAUCCAGACUUUGAUUAUGGCUCAGGAUGAACGCUAGCUGCAGGCUUAACACAUGCAAGUCGAGGGGAAACGACAUCGAAAGCUUGCUUUUGAUGGGCGUCGACCGGCGCACGGGUGAGUAACGCGUAUCCAACCUGCCCAUCACUUGGGGAUACCCUUGCGAAAGUAAGACUAAUACCCAAUGACAUCCAUAGAAGACAUCUGAAAUGGAUUAAAGAUUUAUCGGUGAUGGAUGGGGAUGCGUCUGAUUAGCUUGUUGGCGGGGUAACGGCCCACCAAGGCGACGAUCAGUAGGGGUUCUGAGAGGAAGGUCCCCCACAUUGGAACUGAGACACGGUUCAAACUCCUACGGGAGGCAGCAGUGAGGAAUAUUGGUCAAUGGGCGAGAGCCUGAACCAGCCAAGUAGCGUGCAGGAUGACGGCCCUAUGGGUUGUAAACUGCUUUUAUAAGGGAAUAAAGUGAGUCUCGUGAGACUUUUUGCAUGUACCUUAUGAAUAAGGACCGGCUAAUUCCGUGCCAGCAGCCGCGGUAAUACGGAAGGUCCGGGCGUUAUCCGGAUUUAUUGGGUUUAAAGGGAGCGUAGGCCGGAGAUUAAGCGUGUUGUGAAAUGUAGAGGCUCAACCUCUGCACUGCAGCGCGAACUGGUCUUCUUGAGUACGCACAACGUGGGCGGAAUUCGUGGUGUAGCGGUGAAAUGCUUAGAUAUCACGAAGAACUCCGAUUGCGAGGGCAGCUCACGGGAGCGCAACUGACGCUGAAGCUCGAAAGUGCGGGUAUCGAACAGGAUUAGAUACCCUGGUAGUCCGCACGGUAAACGAUGGAUGCCCGCUGUUGGCCUGAAUAGGUCAGCGGCCAAGCGAAAGCAUUAAGCAUCCCACCUGGGGAGUACGCCGGCAACGGUGCAACUCAAAUGAAUUGACGG
rnacentral:rRNA from 1 species